UAUUUAUGUGACAGGCAAUGCCACUGCUGAAUACAACUGCAACUUUAAAUCAAUACAGUGUUUGUGUUUGAAUUAAGAUGCAGGAUUAAGAUGUCAAAUCUGCUGCCACCCACAAGAUGCAGUAGUGAUAAAGUCCGGAGAAUGUGGAGUUUCUUAUCAUUCAUCAAACUGAAAGUACUACCUUUAGAUUCAUACUGUUACAGUAAGGUCACCGUAGUUCCAUUUUUAGCGACGUUCCAAUUCCCUUUUCACUUCUGCAUUUAUAGUUGAUUUGGUGUUCGGCAGCGUAAGUGUCUGACCAUUAAAGAGAACGCAAGUUCUACAGCAGGUCAAUCCCACCAAUCUGUGUCACGCACCAUGGGCAGAUGUAUCGACGUUUGCAAGCUGGUCUUAUGGGUUGCAGUUUGUGUGACCUUCAUUGUCUUGGGCCAUUUUUGGACCUUCUCUGUAUUCCAACCCAACUAUGCACGGAAAGAGAUCAUCGGCAACACAGUAUACUGCAACAAAUCUCUAUACCUCUUUGUGGCCUCUACCACCAUCCUAUUGGACAUUAUUAUAUGUAUGUGGCUGCUUGUGUUGUUUGAUGUAUGUAAAUGCUUCAUACUUUGUCUGGUCUGCUGUGUCUCUUUAUGCAAGUCUGACGAUGUCAAACCUGUGCAGGUUGUUGAGCCUUUGAGGGUUGUGGAGACUGAGGACUGCGUUGAACCUAAGGAGUGUGUGGGGACUGACGGAAGUGUGGGGACUGACCUGUGUGUGGGGACUGAAGUGUGUGUGGGGACUGAGGUGUGUAUGGGGAUUGAGGUGUGUGUGGAGACUCAGGAAAGUGUGGGGCUUGACGAGAGUGUGAAACUUGAAGAGAGUGUGGAGUACGUGGAGAGUAUGGAGUAUAAGGAGUAUGUGGUAACUGGGCAGAGUGAGUCCAACACUGCUCAUUAUUAA
rnacentral:lncRNA from 1 species